rnacentral:rRNA from 1 species
CUACGGGAGGCUGCAGUGGGGAAUAUUGGGCAAUGGGCGCAAGCCUGACCCAGCAACGCCGCGUGAGGGAAGAAGGUUUUCGGAUUGUAAACCUCUGUCCUUGGGGACGAAGAAGUGACGGUACCCAAGGAGGAAGCUCCGGCUAACUACGUGCCAGCAGCCGCGGUAAUACGUAGGGAGCAAGCGUUGUCCGGAAUUACUGGGCGUAAAGGGGGCGUAGGCGGCAUAUUAAGUCAGGUGUGAAAUACUCGGGCUCAACCCGAGGGGUGCAUUUGAAACUGAUAAGCUUGAGUGUGAGAGAGGAAAGUGGAAUUCCUAGUGUAGCGGUGGAAUGCGUAGAUAUUAGGAGGAACACCAGUGGCGAAGGCGACUUUCUGGCUCAUAACUGACGCUGAGGCACGAAAGCGUGGGGAGCAAACAGGAUUAGAUACCCUCGUAGUC